UCCUCGUUUAAGCGAGGCAGUCUGUCCAGAGUGCUCCCAACUCUCGUUGAGGUGGCAACAGGACAUAAGGGUUGCGCUCGUUGCGGGACUUAACCCAACAUCUCACGACACGAGCUGACGACAGCCAUGCAGCACCUGUGCAUGCUCCCCUUGCGGGGUCGUCCCGCUUUCACGGUUCUACCACAUGCAUGUCAAGGCCAGGUAAGGUUCUUCGCGUUGCAUCGAAUUAAGCCACAUACUCCACCGCUUGUGCAGGCCCCCGUCAAUUUCUUUGAGUUUUAACCUUGCGGCCGUACUCCCCAGGCGGAGAACUUAACGCGUUAGCUGCGCCACCCAAGCACCAUGUGCCCGGACAGCUAGUUAUCAUCGUUUACGGCGUGGACUAC
rnacentral:misc_RNA from 1 species